UGCUAUCUGCUGACGAGCGGCGGACGGGUGAGUAAUGCUUGGGAAUAUGCCUUAUGGUGGGGGACAACAGUUGGAAACGACUGCUAAUACCGCAUAACGUCUACGGACCAAAGGGGGGGAUCUUCGGACCUCUCGCCAUUUGAUUAGCCCAAGUGAGAUUAGCUAGUUGGUGAGGUAAUGGCUCACCAAGGCGACGAUCUCUAGCUGGUUUGAGAGGAUGAUCAGCCACACUGGGACUGAGACACGGCCCAGACUCCUACGGGAGGCAGCAGUGGGGAAUAUUGCACAAUGGGCGAAAGCCUGAUGCAGCCAUGCCGCGUGUGUGAAGAAGGCCUUCGGGUUGUAAAGCACUUUCAGUUGUGAGGAAAGGAUGUUUGUUAAUAGCAAGUAUCUGUGACGUUAACAACAGAAGAAGCACCGGCUAACUUCGUGCCAGCAGCCGCGGUAAUACGAGGGGUGCAAGCGUUAAUCGGAAUUACUGGGCGUAAAGCGUUCGUAGGCGGUCUAUUAAGCAAGAUGUGAAAGCCCAGGGCUCAACCUUGGAACUGCAUUUUGAACUGGUAGACUAGAGUACUGUAGAGGGUGGUGGAAUUUCCAGUGUAGCGGUGAAAUGCGUAGAGAUUGGAAGGAACAUCAGUGGCGAAGGCGGC
rnacentral:rRNA from 1 species